rnacentral:tRNA from 1 species
GGGCCCGUAGCUCAGCUUGGCAGAGCAACAGACUCUUAAUCUGUGGGUCGAGGGUUCAAAUCCCUUCGGGCCCG